rnacentral:lncRNA from 1 species
UCGGCGCAGUCGAGGGAGGCGGCGACAAGCUUUUUCGGCUGCCAUGGACGCCGGUCAUAGGGAGGUGGCGACAAGCAUAAGCGUCUGAUUAUCUGAAGGCAAAACAUCUCUUUAAUCGAUUUAUUUGUCAUUGCUCUAUUCGCAGGACGAUUACUAUUAAUUUCACGUCUCUUUUUUUUCUGGCUAGUUUUCGUCACUUACCGGCAUAAAAGAAAUUUGCUAGCCGCUACUCCCUCUAGCGGCUGGGCGCUCUCUCAGUCAUUAACUCCAAUUUUGGACGGCUGGAUGAGCGUUAAUUGAAACAGGGUUAAUAGGUAACGUAUUCCACGGAUCAUUUUCCUAUAUAUAUAUAUAUAUAUACACAUUUACAAUAUAAAUAUAACAAGUAUGCACAUACAUACUUGUGAGCACUAGGUGUAAUUGUAAAUUGCUGGUAUUUUGUGUUGGCGACAUGAAAAUACAUGUGUGAAGCUGUUGAAAUUUUGGAUUACCUUUGGGUUCAGUUCAUAUUUGCCAUUGUGAAAUUAGGGGUUUUGAUAAGGGGUAAAUGUUAUACAAGCAUGUAUAAAGUAUAUUUAACUUUGUUGGAUUUAUUUUCUGCUAUGUACAGUUAGUGUAUUUGAGUUGCAUGUGCUGGAUUUUCCAUGGAAACAGUGGUUGAAGUAGUGGAAAAUGCUGAAGCCAAAUUUGAGGAUAGUAUUGUUGCAAAAACUAGCUCUGUCCCGAAGUCACUGAAGCCGAUCACUGAUCCUGUUGUUUUGAUUUUGUUUCGAUAUCCUUUGCUCUUCAUCUUCGCCGGCGACCAUGGCGUGGGCUGAAAUUGUUGAUUUGUUUGGUCUAAAUGUAUUAAAUAAAAGAGUGCGACUAUUUUACCCUUUAAUAUAUUAAAAAUAUUUAAUCACAAAAUAAAAAAUUAUUUUUUUACACACCAUGCCACACCCAGAUAGUCACGUCAACAAUUUCUGACGUGCCUCAAUU